GCGGCGUGCUUACACAUGCAGUCGAACGAUGAAGCCCUUCGGGGUGGAUUAGUGGCGAACGGGUGAGUAACACGUGGGCAAUCUGCCCUUCACUCUGGGACAAGCCCUGGAAACGGGGUCUAAUACCGGAUAACACUCUGUCCCGCAUGGGACGGGGUUAAAAGCUCCGGCGGUGAAGGAUGAGCCCGCGGCCUAUCAGCUUGUUGGUGGGGUAAUGGCCUACCAAGGCGACGACGGGUAGCCGGCCUGAGAGGGCGACCGGCCACACUGGGACUGAGACACGGCCCAGACUCCUACGGGAGGCAGCAGUGGGGAAUAUUGCACAAUGGGCGAAAGCCUGAUGCAGCGACGCCGCGUGAGGGAUGACGGCCUUCGGGUUGUAAACCUCUUUCAGCAGGGAAGAAGCGAAAGUGACGGUACCUGCAGAAGAAGCGCCGGCUAACUACGUGCCAGCAGCCGCGGUAAUACGUAGGGCGCAAGCGUUGUCCGGAAUUAUUGGGCGUAAAGAGCUCGUAGGCGGCUUGUCACGUCGGAUGUGAAAGCCCGGGGCUUAACCCCGGGUCUGCAUUCGAUACGGGCUAGCUAGAGUGUGGUAGGGGAGAUCGGAAUUCCUGGUGUAGCGGUGAAAUGCGCAGAUAUCAGGAGGAACACCGGUGGCGAAGGCGGAUCUCUGGGCCAUUACUGACGCUGAGGAGCGAAAGCGUGGGGAGCGAACAGGAUUAGAUACCCUGGUAGUCCACGCCGUAAACGUUGGGAACUAGGUGUUGGCGACAUUCCACGUCGUCGGUGCCGCAGCUAA
rnacentral:rRNA from 1 species